AUCCCUCCGCGCCGCACUUCCUUCUUCAGAAUUGCUCACCAGCGUCGCGAGUGUGGAUCGUGUCCGUCGCUUGCGAUCUCUCUUGCUCUGAUUUCGUGGACAGCGAGUACCGCGAUUUACACAGGCUAUCAGCGAAAGUGUGAAGAAGCUACUUCGCUCAUGUGCUGCAAUUGUGGCCGUACAUGGAAGUUUGUUUCGGCGAAACGGUUGUUCAUCAGACCCAGCAUCGCAACUUUCCUGCGGCAAAAUGGACACCUCAGCCUACAUGCAAGACACCAUCGCAGCGUCCUUUCUGCAAAGCUGCAGAGACACACCGUCACCUUGAUGUGCGAUCAACAUUUUCUGUAUUUGCUGGAUCUCCAAACCACGUGCCUCUGUUGAUUAUCUUUGAAGGCAGGCUUCGCCCUGGUUAUUCGGAAUCAGGCGCAACGCCAACUAAAUGAUGGCAUUCGUCUCUAUUGGAGUUUUCAUAAAAAUAAAUAUAGAUGUUAACA